rnacentral:rRNA from 1 species
UGGGGAAUUUUGGACAAUGGGGGCAACCCUGAUCCAGCAAUGCCGCGUGUGUGAAGAAGGCCUUCGGGUUGUAAAGCACUUUUGUCCGGAAAGAAAACCUCUUGGUUAAUACCUGAGGGGGAUGACGGUACCGGAAGAAUAAGCACCGGCUAACUACGUGCCAGCAGCCGCGGUAAUACGUAGGGUGCGAGCGUUAAUCGGAAUUACUGGGCGUAAAGCGUGCGCAGGCGGUCUGUUAAGACCGAUGUGAAAUCCCCGGGCUUAACCUGGGAACUGCAUUGGUGACUGGCAGGCUUUGAGUGUGGCAGAGGGAGGUAGAAUUCCACGUGUAGCAGUGAAAUGCGUAGAGAUGUGGAAGAAUACCGAUGGCGAAGGCAGCCUCCUGGGCCAACACUGACGCUCAUGCACGAAAGCGUGGGGAGCAAACAGGAUUAGAUACCCUGGUAGUCCACGCCCUAAACGAUGUCAACUAGUUGUUGGGGAUUCAUUUCCUUAGUAACGUAGCUAACGCGUGAAGUUGACCGCCUGGGGAGUACGGUCGCAAGAUUAA